rnacentral:rRNA from 1 species
AACGCGAAGAACCUUACCUGGUCUUGACAUCCUCGGAGCCUGCCAGAGAUGGCGGGGUGCCCGCAAGGGAACCGAGAGACAGGUGCUGCAUGGCUGUCGUCAGCUCGUGUCGUGAGAUGUUGGGUUAAGUCCCGCAACGAGCGCAACCCUCGCCUUUAGUUGCCACGCAAGUGGAUCUCUAGAGGGACUGCCGGUGUUAAACCGGAGGAAGGUGGGGAUGACGUCAAGUCCUCAUGGCCUUUAUGACCAGGGCUACACACGUGCUACAAUGGCCGGUACAAAGCGCUGCCAACUCGCGAGAGGGAGCCAAUCGCAUAAAACCGGUCUCAGUUCAGAUUGGAGUCUGCAACUCGACUCCAUGAAGGCGGAAUCGCUAGUAAUCGUAGAUCAGCACGCUACGGUGAAUACGUUCCCGGGCCUUGUA